rnacentral:rRNA from 1 species
ACCUUAGACAAUGGAUGUCUUGGCUUCUCACACGAUGAAGAACAUUGCAUAAUGUGAUAAGUGACUGGAGUUGCGAACAUUGUGACAAGUUUAUUAAUCUUUGAAUGCAUAUUGCGCAUGGUGGGGCUUGCCUCAUAUGCAUAUAUGUUUCAGUAACCUAUU